UGGCUCAGUUGGUAGAGCAUGGUGUUUGCAACGCCAGGGUUGUGGGUUCGAUUUCCAC
rfam:Salmo salar isolate Sally breed double haploid chromosome ssa14, whole genome shotgun sequence.